AUGGAACCACCGAUACGAGAACAAGUUGAGACUUUGACCACUGUAUUUGAAGUGUGGAAAGCUUUGGAGAAGCAAUUUUCAGGAAAAUCAAAUAAGAUGCAGGCUACUCGCAUCAUGCACGAGUUGACUAACUUGAAGCAAGGCUCAAAAUCAGUGACUGAGUAUGCAGGUGAGAUGAAGAGAUUGUAUAGGGAGUUGCAUUAUUACCAUCCUUUUCAACCUGUUGACAAGAAUGAUGUGGCUGUUCACCAUACCUGGUUUGAACCAUUUGUGGGCAAGCUCUUUCUUGAUGGCCUAAAUCAGGAGUUUGAUCUCCGCCGCCAGCUAAUAUUCUCCAAAACUGAAUGGCUAAGCCUUGAUGAUAUCAUUUCCAGUGUGAUUGAGGAGGAGACUCGUCUUGCUCAACCCAAUGAGCAUGUUCAAGAAAAAUCAGAUGCACGUGCAGCCCUAUCCAUACAAGCUCGUCGUGCUCCUAAGACCUUUGCUAAAAUAGAUAAAAGCAAACUUUUUUGCAACCACUGCAAAAGGCCUGGGCACACAAAGGAUUCAUGCUUUGAGCUGCAUGGUUAUCCAACUUGGUGGGAAAAAGGAAAAUCUCAGCCAGGGGGAGGUCAAGGAGCUCAUAAAAGACAGGCGAAUCUCACUACAUCCAAGAGGGAGCUACCGGUAGUAGAUGUGCGAGCUCUUGAGGAUUUCACCUCCAAGAUUAGACUCUCAGAAGACUUGUCUUCCUUCCAGGAUUCCUCUAAAGCUGAAACUAGUUUGCAUGCCACUUCACUCCAAGGAGCUAGAGACAGGGAGACUGUUGGGGACUGGGACCGUGCAUGA
rnacentral:rRNA from 1 species